rnacentral:lncRNA from 1 species
AUGAGCCCUUACAAUUGUGAAACGCAAAAUGUUUGGGAAACUACAUCUAUUUACACUACAGACUCCCUCAUUUGUAUAAUCGGAUGUAAAUGGGCGAUUGACCAGACCUCAUUACGCAUGCAUUGUAGUACAAGUUCUUAUUCCAAGCAGUGUCUAAAAAUUUGUCAAGCUGAAAUAGAAUCGCGUAAUCUUAGAUCAUAAAAUUUUUCUUUAAUAUUACUUUUCGUUUGUAUAUUUUUCAAUAUUUUUAUUGUAUUUUAUUUACUAAUCCUAUCUCUUUUUGAUCGCUUGCACCACCCCGCACUGUGUCGGGGGUAAGUAUGCUUUGCCCUACAUUUUAAAUUGAUAUGAGAACCUUCUCGUGCAGUGCCUUUCCCCGUCUCUUUUCCCUCCUAAUUGCUAUUGUUGUAACCCGCAAUCUCUUGAUUUCUUGGUUCUGAAAAUUCCCUAAAGUUUGAGCAGUUGCUUUGGAGAGCUUGCCUAAUUCUUUUUAGAGAGAGAAAAGACUUCUUAUCUACUCAGUUUUUACAUCAAGACAUAAUAAAAUAAAGAAAAGUAUAUAGUGAG